rnacentral:rRNA from 1 species
CCUACGGGAGGCAGCAGUGAGGAAUUUUCCGCAAUGGGCUAACGCCUGACGGAGCAAUGCCGCGUGGAGGAGGAAGGCCUGUGGGUCGUAAACUCCUUUUCUCAGAGAAGAAGAUCUGACGGUAUCUGAGGAAUAAGCAUCGGCUAACUCUGUGCCAGCAGCCGCGGUAAUACAGGGGAUGCAAGCGUUAUCCGGAAUUAUUGGGCGUAAAGCGUCCUGAGGUGGCUUACCCAGUCGACUGUGAAAGCUCAAGGCUCAACCUUGAAACGGCAGUCGAAACUUGUAAGCUUGAGUACGGUAGAGGCAGAGGGAAUUCCCGGAGGAGAGGUGAAAUUCGUAGAUAUCGGGAGGAAGGCCAAAGGCGAAAGCACUCUGCUGGGCCGAUUACUGACACUGACAGACGAAAGCUAGGGGAGCGAAAGGGAUUAGAUACCCCUGUAGUCCUAGCCGUAAACGAUGGAUACUAAGUGUUGCGCGACUCAACUCGUGCAGUGCUGCAGCUAACGCGGUAAGUAUCCCGCCUGGGGAGUAUGCUCGCAAGNGUGAAACUCAAAUGAAAUUGACGG